UGAAGCAUUUAUAAAUGUUAUUAUUCAACAAUAUUCACAUUACAACAACAACACUGCUCUGCUAGUGACAGGUUUUAAUAAUCCCAAUAUAUUGUAUAGUUAUUUUGUAAUACAUUAUCAAGAGGCACUUCCAGUAAGUCUGGCAAUAGAGGAGCUACAGUAUUGUGUCUAAAUUCCAAAACAGUAAAAAUAAAUAUUUUUCUAAAAGUUUUUUUUUUGUCAUAAUAUACUUUUGAAUCUGUACAGUAUAUAUUUUUUAUACAAAGUCAAACAAUAUCUUGAAAUAAAAUGUCAAAUUUCACUUAAAUAUUGGUGAAUCACACAUUUUCUUCAUCCUGUUGGUAUUGCUACAUGUGUUUAAGUGCAAGAUACUAAAGAGAAGGAAAGAAUUGAAUCUGUGAAGUGCCUGCUAUAGUAGAUAAAAACAUACCAGUCUCCUUUAUCGUGCUUAAAGUUGUGAAAAAAAGACUUUUGGUUUCCUUUCUGACGAAAGAGGAAAACUAACGAAUAUAGCAUUCAAACAAUGUCUACAUACAUAUAUGUGAAAAUGGCACAGGAGCAUGUUCCCCUUUGAAAUUGGCCAAAACAACAAACAAUACAAAAAGAAAAGUUUUUUUUUUUUUGGUUCAAAUAAGAAAAGAAAAAAACAAGUACAAGAGCUUCAGUCUACGAACAGAACAGUAGGCCGGUUACAUUGCUACUGGUGCCUGUUGACAUGGCAGUGAAAGAAUAACAGGCAGUUAACGUGCACGUCACCGUGAGCGGUGGUGAUGCCAGAUGGAUACCAAUAAUUCUUGAAUUCAUUUUUAUCUUCACAGAACAAAAUAUAUAUGCAUAUUCAGAUACCCUCACCAGUAUUGGAAUAACACUGACCAAAAACAUGCUCCUUUUAGGGCUUGUUUCUGUGCAAAUCACAAAAAAACGCAUCGUUCAAAAAGUUUCUUUGGUUUGCACAAGCUCAUCCAGUGUUUGGCAAUCUCCCCCUCAACAUUUAAAGGAAACUGGCUCAUGCUGGCUCUUAUAAAGUGAAAUAACUGGGUAGUUUGUGACCCUGCAGUUUUCUUGUUUGUUUCUCUCUUUUUUUAUAACUAAUAUUUCUAAUAUUGUUUUUUUUUUUUUCAAUUAAGAGAAAAUAAGAGUUAUGACUGCCAUGUGAUUGCCUGGUACAAAUCACUGACCAGUGCUGCUGUGAUGACAAAGAACAAAAAGCUGACAGAUGUGACAUUUUUUGUGUUAGUAAAGAAUUUUUUACUCAGAUUCUUCAGCUAACCAUGUCGCUAGCUUUCCAUGUAUCGGCCUAUUUACUCCAAAUCAGCUAUAGUGUAUACUUUAAAUUACACAAUGCAGCCGUAUUUCACAAAACAGGCUUUCUUUGGUUUCCUGUUAGUUAUGCAAAACGUUUUAAAAGUUAUCUAUUACGUCUCAGUUAACAUUAGGUCUUCAUGAAGUUUUCUUGACAUAAUGCAAAGCUCGAUUUAAAUUACAUGAUGGAUUCAACAAUAUUAAAACAUUAGCAAAAAUAACUGUUUUUCUCACUUGAAUGCGUUGUCAACCUCGAGUAAAUUUCUAGCAUGUGCUAACAGAUUUUUCUUCUUUAAUUAUUGUGCAUAUAUGAAACAAAACCAACGGCUGCCUUGAAAUGCAGGAAAGACUCAAAUCUAAAACUGUAAAGCGUACAUUUAAAUGAAGCUUAAGUUAGUUCAAUAAGGAAGAUCUGUAUUCACCCAUCUGCCUGCUUUUCCUGGGUGUUCGGCUGCUUUUCUCUUCACACGUCUACCCCUUUCGCACGCUGUCAUUCUCAAUCCUGACAUCAUUACAAUAGUCCAAUCAUCUUCUCGCCUGCCUUCUUUGAGCCAAUCAGCCUGCACUUAGAAUGGUUUAAAUCUGUGCUCUCCGUCAUUCUACCUUUCAGACUGUCUGUCCUGCGUACCACCUCCUUCCCAUCUCCACCUCAGCCACUUCAGUCAGAGCUCUAUUCAAGCCUCAGUCUUCACUGCCACCACCAGCAUCUAGACGCCGGUGGGUCCUGUCCUAAAUCCUUGCACUGCUAGGAUUCCAUUCUGCCAUGAUGGCUCAUCGGAGUCAAACACAUUAACUCCUCUUUCUCAAUAAAUUAUGUUCAGUUCUUCCGAGUCAUCUGUCCUUAUUGAAAUAUGGUUAGCAACGAUUAAAGAAUAUGAUUUGUAGUGAGAAGCUAAAACACGUGACCCUUGAAACCUUGACCGGUUCAUCAUUCAUCUCUAGUUAAAACCCUAAAAUGUUACACAGCAACACGCUGCAGCGUUCUUGGAUUAUUGAAAUGAAUAUGAUAAUAAACUAAAUAACAACUUGAAACGAUAUCACAGCUUUGACUUAAGUCUCUUUGAAGUGUCCAAAGGGUAAAUUUCUCUUUUGACUGAUCUGUUAAGUUUCAAAUUUCUGAUAAAUGAAAACAAAGUAAAGAGAUCUGAAACAGUCUACAAAACCCCCAAACACAGGUGGAGAAUGGGACCAUACAGGUGUGAAACAUGAAAUAUCCAAUGUAGUAGAGUUCACAUUAGAUUAUACGUGAGGUACUGAUAUACUCUAUAGUGCAUCAGGUAUUUACAGCGCAUGGCGCUCAUGCUCAUUCACGUGUACGACAGGAGGCUUGCAGCUUCUUGCAGUGAGGUGGGUCGAUGUUUUUUUAAAACUCAAGUUUAAAAGCUUGCAAACCUAAAUAAUGUCUUGAUCUACAGUUGUGUUGCUCUGUUGUGUAUCAGCUGGUGUGUACAGGUCAUUUUUACCUGCUAUAAGCGAACCUAUCAGAACAAGCCAAUGCAAAGAAAGGCUAGUGGAAGACGACUGGUCCAGGAAGUGACACGUAAAGCCAAGAGCGGAUUGCCGCACAUGCUACAAAUAUGCAAAUAUGACUAGUGCUGCAGUUUUUGCUACCAAACAAAUCACAUAUCGAUUUGCUUUUACUUUUUCUUCCUUUUUCUUUUAAUUGUCAAAUUUUUUUUAAAAAAGAAUUUUAGUCAGGGACUUUUGUGUGAUUGACAUCAAUGCUGAAGGUAAUUCUGCUUUGAUUUGUGUUUUUGCUAAAUAUAAUUUAUUAAUGAAAACCUAAUUAAGUUUUUCCCUCUUUGAGUUUGAGUGAUAGCAACUGUAAAUAAAAAAGACUUCAAACACCAAGGGGCUUUCAACUUGAACUGAAACAUGAACAAAAAGCCCAGGAUUUAGUUAGUGCAGGCCUUUUUUUUCAUAGUAUUAAAAAAGAAGCUGUGGUACUGCACUCCUUUGUAAGUACAGGGUAUAAGCAGUAAAGGGAAUUAUGCUGCACUGUUUAGCCCUCCUUUGCACAAUGGACAUUUUGAUAACAGUGCAAUGGAUACAGCUGCAGAUUUACACAGUAUUACCAGAGUAUUAGCAAAACUCUAAUUGAGUUAAGAAAUUGGGUUACAAUAGAACAAGUAAAGGUAGCCAGUAAAAAUAAGCAAACAAACCUGUUUGAUGGAUUUCUUAGUGACUGAGAUCCAGUGUUUAACAUCUAACUGCAUAAAGUGUACACUUACUGAAAAGUGUAAUGCUGCUUUUUAUAUUUCUGUCACAGUUUUCUUUUUAGGUUUAAUUUCAGCGCUGCUGUUUUCAUUGUAAAUGUUUCCGCCCUGUUAAUGCUCUCCUCUAAUCCCUGUCUAAUCACUUCAGGUACAAGUAGAGUUGCCAAGCCAAAGCUAGCCUGUCACGCGUGACGUCUGUGGCUUCAAAUUGUUUACACUCUUUGAGGGAUUUGAAAUUGUUGUAGGGCUGCUCGAUUAUGGCAAAAAUGAUAAUCACGAUUAUUUUCACUGAAAUUGAGAUCACGAUUAUUUGACGAUAUUUAUUUAACCCUUUAAGACCUACUAUAGAACCAAGUCCGCCAGAGCUUUUUUUUUUUUUUUUUUUUACAUGCUGUAGUGCCAUUUGUGGGAGCAUUUCAAGUUGCUAAACAUCAAUACAACUGUUAUAGCCCAUAUUUUAAUAAUAUGUAUGCAUUAAGUCCAUAGUAAUUACAUAAAUUGCAAAAAAGUGCAAUAAACUACAAAAAAAAUUGAAGAUCGCUUUUGUUUUGUUUACAUAUAUUUCUACUUGGAGAAAUUUAAGAGGCUUAUCCCUCAAAACUUUAAAUACAAUAAAGUUGCAAAAAAUAGUUUCCCACCACAGGAAAUUUAUUUUGAGUGUCUUCAUAGUUUUAUUUUGGAGAUACAGCAAUUUUUAUAUACUGCAGGAAAAACAAAAAACAAUCCUAUGAUGCAAAUUUGCAAAGAAAACAGCAUGUGCAUCAUUUCACUGUGGGAAGUGUUACGAACAGCUGAUAGGAACGGCGAAGCCUGUUUCUGGAAUAUUAUGUUUUUGUUCCUGCAAGCGCUUUUUAUGCAAUUUUUGCAAAGCUAUAUGUGGAACGAAACCGUGACCGAGGACAAGCUGAUGGCAUAAGUUGUAAGUACAACUCCUCCGGUUUCAUAUGCAAAACAAAUUAUUGCGCUAGCUUACACGGUUCAGGUUCUACAGGGAUUUAAAAAUAGUUACGCAAAACGGAGCGUGCUGCUCUGACCGGCUUUAAAGGGUUAACAAUGACUUUAAAAAAAUAAUAUAAAAUAGUGUGCAACACCACUGAAGUUUGUUUUUUAAACUCUCUUUUCAACCAACGGCAGUCACUCUCCAAAUAACUUCUGCUUAGCUUUCCGAGCUUCCCUCGGGUCCUCUUAAUCAGCGGUCUCCAACCUUUUUUGCGCCACGGACCGGUUUAUGCCCGACAAUAUUUUCACGGACCGGCCUUUAAGGUGUGAUAAAUUAGGGAGGGGCUAAUAAUCGGCUCCGUCAUUUUUAAUGAUCGUUGAAAGCCCAGAUCGUAAUCGUGAUUAAAAUUCGAUUAAUUGAGCAGCCCUAAAUUGUUGCGUUAUGAAAUAAUAAAAUCUGUCAAACUGCUACAGAGAUUUACCACAGAAGCAGAAAAUCCAUUGCUACAGGUCAACAAUGCUGUACUGCCUCUUCGAUAUCUCUACCUUGAUCCUACCUCAAGUGUCAGGCAGGUUCCCAAAAAAAGUCUUGUCAAAAUGAAUGCAUCCAUUUUUUAUUUUGCAAAUAUGAUAAAAGAAAAACAACUGUCCAUUACAACUCACUGCAUGAAGAAACUAAGUAACCUAAAUUCUUGAGAUCUGAAUCCACAAAGAGCCCCUGUUGCUUUUCUGACGUCAGAUCAAAUACACUACACUGCAUAUCCCUGUAAUACGGUUUGGAGAAUUGGAGAAGUGGAUCAUCACAUGAUUUUGAAUCCAACUGAACUGGCUCAUCUUCAAAGACUUACACCAGAAAGAAUCAGCUGAACUGUGACAAAGAUCUGAGACCCCUCUGACCUCUCAUGAGCAGCUCCAAGUCCAGCUGAAAGGAUUCUUCCAUUAAUAAGCCUCAUUACCGAGGCUGUUCUUUUUUUUCACACAUUUUCUUCCAUUACAGCAAAUAUGAAUGUCCAAGGACAUCAAAGACGAGCGCAAACAGUGACAUUAAUAAAAGAGUGAAGAGAAAUAGUCUCUCAAAAAAUAGUAGGUAAACUACAUCAUUCAAUAAAUAGAUAGUAAAUAUCAUAUAUUUGUGUACAUGUGGUUAAUUAUUAAGCUGGAUUCAGAAAUGUAAGGGGCUUACUGUUUCCACUAUAACUUUCUUUGGCUUUUUAUGGAAGUGAAACAACUAGUUCUUUAAAGUUAUUUUAACAGCUUUUUCUAUGUAUCAUUAAAAGUCACUCCAAAACACAGAUAGGCUUCAUGGUGCUGAUAUUUCUAAACUCUUUCCAAAGGUUUUUUGGCUCGAGAGGUCAAAGUUCACGCUAUCAUAUCUUUU
ensembl:lncRNA